GACGAACGCUGGCGGCGUGCUUAACACAUGCAAGUCGAACGGAAAGGCCCUGCUUUUGUGGGGUGCUCGAGUGGCGAACGGGUGAGUAACACGUGAGUAACCUGCCCUUGACUUUGGGAUAACUUCAGGAAACUGGGGCUAAUACCGGAUAGGAGCUCCUGCUGCAUGGUGGGGGUUGGAAAGUUUCGGCGGUUGGGGAUGGACUCGCGGCUUAUCAGCUUGUUGGUGGGGUAGUGGCUUACCAAGGCUUUGACGGGUAGCCGGCCUGAGAGGGUGACCGGGCACAUUGGGACUGCGAUACGGCCCAGACUCCUACGGGAGGCAGCAGUGGGGAAUAUUGCACAAUGGGCGGAAGCCUGAUGCAGAAACGCCGCGUGCGGGAUGACGGCCUUCGGGUUGUAAACCGCUUUCGCCUGUGACGAAGCGUGAGUGACGGUAAUGGGUAAAGAAGCACCGGCUAACUACGUG
rnacentral:rRNA from 1 species